rnacentral:rRNA from 1 species
UGUGAGAGAUCACUUGGUGCCUUCGGGAGCGCAGAGACAGGUGCUGCAUGGCUGUCGUCAGCUCGUGUUGUGAAAUGUUGGGUUAAGUCCCGUAACGAGCGCAACCCUUGUCCUUAUUUGCCAGCACGUAAUGGUGGGAACUCUAAGGAGACUGCCGGUGACAAACCGGAGGAAGGUGGGGACGACGUCAAGUCAUCAUGGCCCUUACGAGUAGGGCUACACACGUGCUACAAUGGCCGGUACAAAGGGCAGCGAACUCGCGAGAGUCAGCGAAUCCCUUAAAGCCGGUCUCAGUCCGGAUCGGAGUCUGCAACUCGACUCCGUGAAGUCGGAAUCGCUAGUAAUCGUGCAUCAGAAUGGCACGGUGAAUACGUUCCCGGGCCUUGUACACACCGCCCGUCACACCAUGGGAGUGGACUGCACCAGAAGUGGUUAGCCUAACGCAAGAGGGCGAUCACCACGGUGUGGUUCAUGACUGGGGGAAAGUCGUAACAAGGUAACC